GUACACGCUGUGACUAGCAUAUCAAUAAGCGGAGGAAAAGAAACUAACAAGGAUUCCCCUAGUAACGGCGAGUGAAGCGGGAAGAGCUCAAAUUUGAAAUCUUAAAGGGUUUCCCUUUACGAAUUGUAGUUUAAAGAAGUGUUUUCUGUUGAGGUUUUGGUAAAAGUUCUUUGGAAUAGGACAUCAUAGAGGGUGAGAAUCCCGUAUUUGACCUUUACUUUCAACUUUGUGAUACACUUUCAAAGAGUCGGAUUGUUUGGGAAUGCAGUCCAAAAUGGGUGGUAAAUUUCAUCUAAAGCUAAAUAUUAGCGAGAGACCGAUAGCGAACAAGUACCGUGAGGGAAAGAUGAAAAGAACUUUGAAAAGAGAGUUAAACAGUACGUGAAAUUGUCAAAAGGGAAGCGUUUGACACCAGUGUUGUUUUUCUGAAAAUCAAUUAAAGAACUGUUUAUGCUAAGCUGUUUAGACUUUAUCAGCUAACUGUUUAGUUUUGAGCUUUUCUUUAAUGCACUUUUCAGUUAACAAGUCAACAUCAAUUUCUUUUGCUGUAAAAAAGCUUGAGGAAGGUGGCUUGAGAUUCGUCUUAAGUGUUUAUAGCCUCUUGCCUAUGCAGUCGGAGAGAUUGAGGUCUGCAGCGUAGAUCCUUCGGGGCUAAAUGCAUUUGUGCUAAGUUAUAGCAUUUCAUAGACAACUUGUUGACUAUGAUUUGUCUUGUAGCUUACUCGCUUAUGUUAUUUUACCUACGCUUAGGAUGUUGACGCGCGUGUGUGCGUG
rnacentral:rRNA from 1 species